UUAAAAUCGCCAGUAUUAGGCACAUGCGAUACUACCUGGGUCAGUAAGAGAUUGGUCAUGCAACGAAGUUAUUAAUAUAUUAAUGAUUUUACCCAAUUAUUUAUUUCAGGUUUUGCUUGAUUAAUGCUGCCCUAGUUUACUUCUAUGCAUCAAGUUUCCAAGGUGUUGAUGAAGAAGAAUUUGGAGGAAUGUGGGAACUUACCAAAGAAGGAUUUGUCACAUCAUUUGCAGGUUUUUUGGUUAUGUGGAUAAUCCUAUAUUCCGGUUUACAUUAUGACUGACAUUACCCUAGACAAAAUAUUUUUUAGACCAUACAUUUUCAGUGUUUUAUGAACAAGAAAGGGGAUUUCACAGUUGGUCUUGGUUUAUAAAGCAGAUUAUGAUUUAUUAUCAACACUGUCAUAAUUGUGGUAUGCAGUUUUGCUAAAAAUUCAUUUUAAAAUAUGAAAUUUCUUAAAACAAAAUUGGAGUCUGUCAAGUCAUUGGACAUAAAUGCUUACUGGUUUAAGCAUGAUAAUUUUUGUAUCUACAAACAGUGAUAUGUUAUUGUUGGAUCAUAAAAGGGAUGAUAUUGCUUUGCCAAAAAUUGUGAAAAUACCAUUCAUUAUGUACGGUGUACAAGCAAAACACCAACUACACUUGUUACAGUAGUGCCACCCAGAAGUUCAGUGAGUAAUUAAUAGAUGAAAGUGUUUUUUUGAUAUUGAUUGAAUAUGAAAAGUAAUCAGAUCUAGGGCUCUCCUGAGAUUGGUGCUUUAGAGUAUUAUUAUAUUUUAUUUAUAUUAUUUUUUGUGGAAGAGUAUGCUUUUUAUUGUGACAUUUGGGAAUACCAUUGCAAUAUUUUAUAUAAACAAAAAAGUGAGAAGAAAGUAAUGUCAUGGUCACAGUUUAUGUCAGCCUAACAGUUUCUCAUAAAAACAAUUGCAUAUUUUCACUUGUUUGCAAGCAAUAUAUUUAUAUGGAUUACUAUUGUUAGACAGCAAUAUAUGAAUUAUGACUAAUUUUUUUCUGAAUAUACAGUGGUACCUGAAGUUUUCUUGUAUCCAGCAAUUUUCAUUUCAAGUAAUUUGAUAAUGAUCUGGCUUUAAUCACAAAAUUAGAAGAAAUAACUCAUUUAGAAAUCAGGACUUCAAUCAAAAUGUCUUAUGGAAUAUUGGACCAUUUUGGGAUGGAUUGGAUUCUGUUGGUACAUGAUAUUUGAUGUUUUCUAAAAUAAUUGAAAUUGCCUUGAAUUCUUUCUAUGACAUUUUUAUGAAAUAAAUAAUGCAGAAA